GCUUCCCCCGCUCCUCCCUGGUCGUCAGGGGAUGGUCCCCAGUUGAGCACACGUGUACUUGGUGUUUCAGGAAUCAGUGACCUUCAAUGACGUGGCCGUGGACUUCACCGCAGAGGAGUGGCGGGGCCUGCGCCCUCUUCAGAAGGAGUUGUACCGGGAUGUGAUGCUGGAGAACUACCAGAACCUGGUCUGCCUGGGCCUUGCUAUUUCCAAGCCAGAUGUGAUCUGCCAGUUGGAGAGAGGGGAAGCCCCUAGGUUGCCGGAGGGAGACAUGCCCCAGAGUGGCUACGCAGACUGGGGGACAGGGCCUGAUGCCAAAGAGCCGGCUACAAAGCUUGGUACUUUUCUGGAAAAAUCAGCCCUGGAACAGCUCGCAAGGGAGCCGCUCUGUGCAUCCAGGUGGGAAGAAGCUUUAGAACGUGAUGCCAGGUAUGAAGGAGGAAAACUCAGUACUCUGAGAGGUGGGUGGGUGGGUGUGUGU
rnacentral:lncRNA from 1 species